UCUUCGUGCUGGAGCUACAAUGUUAUUUCAUCCGUACUAGUAGUGCAGUACGAAAACAAAGAAGUUCAGAUACAACAUUAUUUAUAUCUAGCAUAUGUGCGCAUUGUAAUAGACCCAUACAUAAUAUCUGUAAAUACUGUCACAGCUGUUAAGACGCUAAUUACGAGGUACGUAUGGGCCAAAAGCACGCACUGCAACCAGUUUAACAGGAGCAGCACCCAGGACCCAGUGCUGUUUACAGGCUCCAUGAGGAAGAACUUGGACCCUUUCACCCAUCACACUGAUGAAGACCUGUGGAAGGCUCUGGAGGAGGCUAGUAUCCAAUCAGCCUAGUAUCCAAUCAGCAUACUCCAAAAAUGCGUGCAGAGUUUCCGGACCACAACGGAGAAGUUCCUUUUCAAUUUAUCAAUUCAAUUCUAAUUUCAAUUCAGAUUUUGAAAAUGACAGCACCACCGAGGGAUGGAACACUCAUCCUCCAGUCUUCAUGAGAGUUGAACCUUCACCUUAGCUUGCUGAGCUCUAUGCAGCGCUUGGAAAGGCUCUAGUUGGAAGAUGUAUUUAUUGUUCAAACUACAGGGGAGAGAAAUUAAAAACUGUCGAGACAAAAGUGGGAUUGAAUCCUUCAAUCUCAGAUUGUUGAGUCAGUAACUUAUCUCAGUGAGCUAUUCCUAAUUAAUCAAUUAAGUAAUCAACAAAUAAUACAUUAAUCAACCAAUUAACAGCUCAAUUAGCAGAUCAAUCAACCAAUUACUCAAUACAUUUUAUUUGUCACAUGAAAUCAAUUAGUCUACAAGGACAGAGUUUGAACAACAAAUAUUAGAAUGGAAACUUGAAAUGUCAGUUUCAAGAAUAGCUCACUGAGAUAAGCUACUGACUCAACCAUCUGAGGUUGAAGGAUCAAAUCCCACACCAUUUGUCUCAACAGUUUUUUAACUUCUCUCCUCUGAAAUGUGAACAAUAAAUACAACUUCCAACCAGCACAGAGUCUCAGAUCAGAUAGCUCAGUGUGAUAGAACGCUGGUUAGAGGACACGCAGGUCUUGGGUUCAAUCACCCUGAUGGACUGGUGUUUGUAUCCUGCAUUUCACAGAACAUUUCUUUCUUUCCUAAACCCAAAAAUUCGUCUUAACUGCGUACUGUAUUCGCUGGAGGUGGCGGCUGAGGUGGCGGCAGAGCGGAAUAGGCAUCAGCCCUUCACCCAGGAGACCCGGGUUCACAUCCAGUGUGCCCCGGUAGGAUCUGCGCAAGGUAAGGUAGGCACCACCCCGAAGGUGGUGCCUACCUUAAGGGUGUGGUGCCCAAGGGAGCAGUGCCCACCAGCAACCCCAAGCCACCCCAGAGGGGGGAAACCCCCAUGCCGCCCCUUCGGGGCGGCAUGGGGGUUUCCCAAGUGUCAUAACGGUGCGUUGCAACCCCGAAGGGGUUGCAACGCACCUUACCUUUUGCCGACUGCAACAAUGAAUUUUUUUCUCUAAGUGUCAUAAGUACAUCUCCAGCCUUUCACCCAGGAGACCAGGGUUCGUGUCCCACGUGUCAUGGUUAAGUACUUUCCUAAUCCCAACUGUCCUUGGCAUCC